rnacentral:rRNA from 1 species
GACGAACGCUGGCGGCGUGCUUAACACAUGCAAGUCGAACGGAAAGGCCCUGCUUGCAGGGUACUCGAGUGGCGAACGGGUGAGUAGCACGUGGGUGAUCUGCCCUGCACUUCGGGAUAAGCCUGGGAAACUGGGUCUAAUACCGGAUAGGAGCCAUUUUUAGUGUGAUGGUUGGAAAGUUUUUUCGGUGUAGGAUGAGCUCGCGGCCUAUCAGCUUGUUGGUGGGGUAAUGGCCUACCAAGGCGGCGACGGGUAGCCGGCCUGGGAGGGUGGACGGCCACAUUGGGACUGAGAUACGGCCCAGACUCCUACGGGAGGCAGCAGUGGGGAAUAUUGCACAAUGGGCGCAAGCCUGAUGCAGCGACGCCGCGGGGGGGAUGACGGCCUUCGGGUUGUAAACUCCUUUCGCUAGGGACGAAGCUUUUUGUGACGGUACCUAGAUAAGAAGCACCGGCUAACUACGUG